rnacentral:rRNA from 1 species
UACGGGGGGCAAGCGUUGUUCGGAAUUACUGGGCGUAAAGGGCUCGUAGGUGGCCAACUAAGUCAGACGUGAAAUCCCUCGGCUUAACCGGGAACUGCGUCUGAUACUGGAUGGCUGGAGAUUGGGAGAGGGAUGCGGAAUUCCAGGUGUAGCGGUGAAAUGCGUAGAUAUCUGGAGGAACACCGGUGGCGAAGGCGGCAUCCUGGACCAACACUGACGCUGAGGAGCGAAAGCCAGGGGAGCAAGCGGG